rnacentral:rRNA from 1 species
CGGUAAUACGAACCGUACGAACGUUAUUCGGAAUCACUGGGCUUAAAGAGUGCGUAGGCGGCUUGGUAAGUUGGGUGUGAAAUCCCUCGGCUCAACCGAGGAAUUGCGCCCAAAACUAGCGGGCUUGAGGAAGAUAGAGGUGAGCGGAACUAAUGGUGGAGCGGUGAAAUGCGUUGAUAUCAUUAGGAACACCUGUGGCGAAAGCAGCUCACUGGGUCUUUUCUGACGCUGAGGCACGAAAGCUAGGGUAGCGAACGGGAUUAGAUACCCCGGUAGUCCUAGCCGUAAACGAUGAGCACUGGGUUGAGGAGACUUCCACAUCUUCUCGGCCGUAGCGAAAGUGUUAAGUGCUCCGCCUGGGGAGUAUGGUCGCAAGGCUGAA